CGGGAUGUAGUUCAGUCCGGUUAGAAUGUUGGUCUGGGGGACCAAAGGUCGCUGGUUCGAGUCCAGUCAUCCCGA
rfam:Alistipes sp. CAG:157 genomic scaffold, scf57